rnacentral:lncRNA from 1 species
GCAGUGGUGUGAUCUUGGCUCACUGCAAUUUCUGCCUCCUGGGUUCAAGCGAUUAUUCUGUCUCAGCCUCCUGAAUAGCUGGGAUUGCAGGCGUAGGCUACCAUGCCCACCCAAUUUUUGUAUUUUUAGUAGAGACAUGGUUUUACCAUUUUUGCCAGGUUGGUCUCAAACUCUUGACCUCAAGUGACCUGCCUGCCUUGGCCUCCCAAAGUGCUAGAAUUACAGGCAUGAGCCACCUCACCCAGCCUAUUAUAAUUCUUUUUAUUUAUGUGGACUCAUUAUUUCCACUUUCAUUUUUGAUUUUAUUAAUUUAAAUUUUUCUCUUUUUUUUUUAGUUCAUCUGGCUAAAAUUUCAUCACUUUUGCUAAUCUUGAGGAAUCAAUUUUUGGUUUUAUUGAUUUUCUCUAUUAUUUCUCUGUUCUCUAUUUUAUCUUUGCUCUAAUCUUUAUUUCCUUCUUUCUCCAAGUUUUGAGUUUAGUUCUUCUUUUUCUAGUUUCUUAAGGUAUAAAGCGAAGUUGUUGAUUUGAGACCUUUUUUGUUUUUUAACGAUAAGUGUUUACAGCUAUAGUUUUUUCCUUUAGCACCACUUUUGCUGUGUACCAUAAGUUUUCGUGUGAUGUAGUUUCAUUUUUCAUUUGUCUCUAAUUAUAUUCUAAUUUCUUUUGUGAUUUCUUUGAUCCAUUGGUUGUUGAAGACUGUGCUGUAUGAUCCUUUUGUAGUUCACAAGCCUGAUGAUUGGGUUUUCAUUCACGUGGAUGAGAUGCACCUCCCUCAAACCUGGUUGUUACAGCAUAGGCACAUUACUUGUCUAACACGAAAAAAAGGAAAAAGGAGUGUGCUGUGCAAUUUCCACAAAUUUGUGAAGUUUCUAAUUUUACUUGUGUUACUGAGUUCUAAUUUCAUCCUGUUGUGAUCAGAGAAGACAAUUUGCAUAAUAUUUAUCUUUUAUAAUCCAUCGAGAAUUGGUGACUUAAUAUAUUGUGUCUGGAGUUGGUUCCUCCUGGUGGGUUUGUGGUCUCCCUGACUUCAAGAAUGGAGCUGCGGACCUUAGCAGUGAGUGAUACAGCUCUUAAAGAUGGCACGGACCCAAAGAGUGAGCAGCAGUAAUAUUUAUUGUGAAGAGCAAAAUAACAAACAUUCCCCAGCACGGAAGGGGACCUGAGCGGGUUGCCGCUGCUGGCUGGGGUGCCCAGCUUUUAUUCCCUUAUUUGUCCCCACCCAUAUCCUGCUGAUUGGUCCAUUUUACAGAGUGCUGAUUGGUUCACUUUACAGAGCACUGAUUGGUCCAUUUUACAGUGUGCUGAUUGGUUUUACAAAACUCUAGCUACAGAGCGCUGAUUGGUGUGUUUUUACAGAGCAUUGAUAGGUGCAUUUUACAAACCUCUAGCUAGCUACAGAGUGCUGAUUGGUACAUUUUUACAGAGCACUGAUUGGUGCAUUUUACAAACCCCUUGUAAGACAGAAAAGUCCUCCAAGUCCCCAUUCGACCCAGGAAGUCCAGCUGGCUUCACCUCUCAAUAUGAUAUAUCUUGAUAAAUAUUCCAUGUGUACUUGAGAAGAAUGUGUAUGCUGUUGAUGUUGAGUAAUGCUCUGUAUGUGUCUGCUAGAUCUAGUUGGUUUGUGUUGUGUUCUAUUUCCUUUCUUAUCAUCUGUCUGAUUGGUGUCUUCAUUAUUGAGAGGGGAGUACUGAAAUCUUUAACUAUUAUUGUAGAACUAUAUUUCUCCCUUCAUUUCUGUCAGCUUUUGCCUCAUAUAUUUUGAUGGUCAGUUAUUAGAUGCAUGAAUGUUUAUAGUUUUUAUAUCUUCUUUCUGUAUUGAACAUUUUAAUUUAUAAUGUCCUUCUUUAUGUCUUUUUCACUUUUUGGAUUUAAAGUGUAUUUUCCCUGAUAUUGGUAUAGCCACUGCUGCUCUCUUUUGGUUACUAUUUGCAUGGAAUAGCUUAUUUCUUUUUUUCUUUCUUUUUUUUUUUUUAAAUAAACACAUUUUUUUUUUUUUUUUUUGAGAGACAGUCUCCCUCUUGUCCAGUCUGGAAUGCUGUGGUGCAAUCUCAGCUCACCGCAACCUCUGCCUCCUGGGUUCAAGCAAUUCUUAUGCCUCAGUCUCCAGAGAAGCUGGGACUACAAGUGCACACCACCACCCCCGGCUAAUGUUUUGUAUUUUAGUAGAGACAGGGUUUUAUCAUGUUGCCCAGGCUGAUCUUGAACUCCUGACCUCAGGCAAUCUGCCCACCUUGGCCUCCCAAAGUGCUGGGAUUAUAGGUGUGAGCCACUGCACCCAGCCAGAAUAGCUUUUUCUAUCAUUCCAUCUUUUUUUUUUUUUUUUGAGAUGGAGUUUUGCUCUUGUUGCCCAGGCUGCAGUGCAAUGGCACAAUCUUGGCUCACUCCAACCUCCGCCUCCCAGGUUCAAGUGAUUCUCCCACCUCAGCCUCCCGAGUAGCUGGGAUUACAGGCGUGCGCCACCACCUCAGAUAAUUUUUUGUAUUUUUAGUAGAGACAGGGUUUCACCAUAUUGGCCAGGCUGGUCUCAAACUCCUGAACUCAGGUGAUCCACCUGCCUCAGCCUCCCAAAGUGCUGGGAUUACAAGCAUAAGCCACCAUGCCUGGCCUAUCAUUCCAUCUUUUCACUUUCUAUCUGUUUGUAUUUCUAAAUCUAAAAUGAGUCUCUUGUAGACAGCAUUUAGUUGGAUCAUGUAUUUUUAAAUCUAUUCUGCCAGUAUGUAUCUUUCAAUUGGAGAGUUUACUCCACAUUUAUUUAAAGUAAUUACUGAUAAGGAGGACUUACUUCUGCCAGUUUGCUAUUUGUUUUCUAUAUGCCUUAUACUUUAUUAUCCCUCAGUUCCUGCAUUACUGUCAUCUUUUGUGUUUAGUUGAUUUUUUGUAGGGAAGUGUUUAAAUUUAUUUCUCAUUUCCUUGUAUAUAGUCUGUAGUUAUUUUCUUUAUGGUUGUCAUGAGGAUUACAUUUAACAUCUUAAAGUAAUAACACUGUAAUUUAAAUUUAAACCAGCUUAACUUUAAUACUAUACAAAAAGUUUACUCUGUUAUAGCUUCAUCCCCACUUAUUUCAGUGGCUGAUGUCAUAAAAUUACAGCUUUAUAUAUUAUGCACCCCAAAACAUAAACUAAUAAUUCUUUUAAAUACAUUAGCCUUUUAAAUUAUAUAGAAAAUGAAAUGUGAAGUUACCAACCAAAGUUACAAUAUUAGGUUUUUGAGUAAUAAUUCUUUAAAUGUAUUUUUCUCUUAAAUCAUGUAGAAAAUAAAAAGUGGAGUUAUAAACCAUUAUUACAAUAAUACUUGAUUUUAUGAUUGCACAUGUAUUUACCUUUGCUGAGAUAGUUAUUUUUUCAUAUGUCUUUGAAUUACUGUCCAGUGUCUUUUCAUUUCAUGCUACAGGCUUCCCUUGAGCAUUUCUUUCAGGGCAGCUCUAGUGGUAAUGAACUCCCUCAGUUUUUUUAUUUGGGAAUAUCUCUUUUUUUUUUUGACAAGAUCUUGGUCUGUCACUCAGGCUGGAGUGCAGUGGCACAACUGUAACUUACUGCAGCCUCAAACUCCUGGGCUCAAGUGAUCCUCCCACUUCAGCCUCCCAAGUAGCCAGGACUACAGGCAUGCACCACCAUGCCCAGCUAAUCUUUUUUAAUUAUUAUUUUUUGUAAGGAUGAGGUCUCACUGUGAUUCCCAUGUUGGUUUUGAAUGCUUGGCCUAAGCAAUCCUCCUGCUUCAGGCUCCCAAAGUGCCAGGAUUACAGGUGUGAAUCACUAUGCCCAGCCAUCUGGGAAUACGUCUUAAUUUCUUAUUUUAGAAGGACAGUUUGGCCAGAGAUAGAAUUUUUGGUUAAUAGAUUUUUUCUUUUUUUUUUUUUUUUGCACUUGGAAUAUAUUGACCCAAUGCCUUUUGGCCUCCAAAGUUUCAAAUGAGAAAUCUGCUUAUGAUCUUAUUGAAAAUCUCUUGUAUGUAGUAAGUCUGUCUUUGUUCAAUCAAAGGUUUGAUUAUAAUGUAUCUCAGUGUGGGUCUCCUUGAGUUCAUCAUAUUUGGAUUUUCUUGAAUUUCUUGGAUGUUUAUAUUCAUGUCUGUCAUCCAGUGUCAGAAGUUUUUCAGUCAUUAUUUCUCCAAAUAUUCACUCUACCCCUUUCUCUCUUCUCCUUCUAAAACUUCUGCAAUGUGUAUGUUGGUCUGCUUGAUGAUGUGCUACAGGUCCCUUAGGCUCUGUUCACUUUUCUUCAACAUUUUUUUCUUUCUGUUCCUUAGACUCAAUAAUUUCCAUUGUCUUAUCUUCAAGUGUCACUGAUUCUUUUGCCUCUUAAAACCUGCCUUUGAAUCUCUCUAGGGAAUUUUUUGUUUCAGUUAUCAUACUUAUCAUUUCCAGAAUUUAUUUUUGGUUUCUUUUUAGGUUUUGGUAUCUUUAUAUUUCUAUUUUGUUCAUUUAUCAUUUUCUUGAUUUUUUUAACAUCUUCCUUUAGUUUUGAAAAUAUAUUUAAGGCAGUUGUUUCAAAGACUUUGUCUAGUGGAUCUUCCAUCUGUGUUACUCAGGGACAGUUUUGGUUGAUUUAUUUUUGUUUCCUUUGAGUGAGCCAUAGUUUCCAUUUCUCUGAAUGCCCUGUGAUUUUUUUUUUUGAAAACUGCAUAUUUGAACCUAAUAAAGUGGUAACUCUAGAAGCCAGAUUCUCCUCCCUUUCCCUGUGUUUGCUGUUUUUUGGUUACAAUUUAUUGUUUAUUGAUUUUUUUUUUAAUUUGAGUGUUUUAAGCUAUCUCUGUGUCAAGGAUCAGAAUGAGGUAUAUACUUAAGGUCUUCUCA